GAUGAACGCUGGCGGCGUGCCUAAUACAUGCAAGUCGAGCGAACAGACGAGGAGCUUGCUCCUCUGACGUUAGCGGCGGACGGGUGAGUAACACGUGGAUAACCUACCUAUAAGACUGGGAUAACUUCGGGAAACCGGAGCUAAUACCGGAUAACAUGUUGAACCGCAUGGUUCAACAGUGAAAGACGGUCUUGCUGUCACUUAUAGAUGGAUCCGCGCCGCAUUAGCUAGUUGGUAAGGUAACGGCUUACCAAGGCAACGAUGCGUAGCCGACCUGAGAGGGUGAUCGGUCACACUGGAACUGAGACACGGUCCAGACUCCUACGGGAGGCAGCAGUAGGGAAUAUUCGGCAAUGGGCGAAAGCCUGACGGAGCAACGCCGCGUGAGUGAAGAAGGUCUUCGGAUCGUAAAACUCUGUUAUUAGGGAAGAACAAAUGUGUAAGUAACUAUGCACGUCUUGACGGUACCUAAUCAGAAAGCCACGGCUAACUACGUG
rnacentral:rRNA from 1 species